rnacentral:rRNA from 1 species
GCUUAACACAUGCAAGUCGAACGGGGGCAGUGAUGCCCUAGUGGCGGACGGGUGAGUAACGCGUAGGGAUCUACCUGGCAAUGGGGGACAACCUGGGGAAACUCAGGCUAAUACCGCAUACGCUCGCGAGAGGAAAGCGGGGGACCUUUGGGCCUCGUGUUGGCGGAUGAACCUACGUCCGAUUAGCUAGUUGGGAGGGUAACGGCCUACCAAGGCGACGAUCGGUAGCUGGUCUGAGAGGAUGAUCAGCCACACUGGGACUGAGACACGGCCCAGACUCCUACGGGAGGCAGCAGUGGGGAAUAUUGGACAAUGGGCGCAAGCCUGAUCCAGCAAUGCCGCGUGGGUGAAGACGGCCUGCGGGUUGUAAAGCCCUUUAGGUGGGGAAGAAGAGUGGAACGCGAACACCGUUUUACUUUGACAUUACCCACGGAAUAAGCACCGGCUAACUCCGUGCCAGCAGCCGCGGUAAUACGGAGGGUGCGAGCGUUAAUCGGAAUGACUGGGCCGUAAAGCGUGCGUAGGUGGUAACGUUAGUCAGCCGUGAAAGCCCUGGGCUCA